AUGACAUUAAUAACUGAAUAAUAAAAUAGAACAAAGCUAAAUCUACGUUUAUGCUAACUGAACAUUUGAGAUAGAAACAAAAUCCAAGAAAAACUCCAAAUUAAAGUGCUCCAUAUCCCUGAAUAUUUUACUAACAUAUCUCAUAACCAUUGCAACUAGAAGAUAAUAAACUAAUUCUAUCUUUUUUAACUUGGCAAUCUCUAAGAAAACUAGUGAAACAGUUAAGUACUAACAAAAAAUUAAAUGAUCCAAUACUCACUACUUAUAUACUAGACUACUACUUAUAGUCAAUGUUAACUUUAGUAACAAAUGGUAUUCAACUAAGAAAAGUUUACUUGCACGUACUAUCUAUGGCAUCAACAUCUAAAUUUAAAAAAGAAAAAAAAAACUAAGGAAAGAACUAAACUACAAAUAGAGAUCCUAAAUAAGAUAAAGAUCACACUAAACGUUACCAAUUUACAAAUACAUAUAAAAUAAGAAGACUGAAAAGACAAAAUAGAGGAUAUGAACCUUUGUAGAAGCUUUCAAUAACAUGAUCCGUGAAUCACAAGAAAUUGAUAAAGAACAGCAAUUGUAGCGCGAACCCAAAACUCGAAAAUAAACCUCUAUUCAAACAAUCUCCAUGCUUUCUACGUGAGCCAUCUCUUUGAAAAUAUAAAACUUUUCCUUUAGAAGAACUUCUGUUUUCUCUCAAAAAAAAAAAAAUUUUGGCUUUCUGUUUUUCCAGUUUCGUUCUCCUCUUCUCUUACGUUCAUUCUUUUCUUUUUUGUCUUUUCACUUUCUCAUUCGUUUUCUCUCUUUUGUUUUGCUUUCGUCCCUUU
rnacentral:lncRNA from 1 species